rnacentral:rRNA from 1 species
GCAUGAAGUCGGAAUUGCUAGUAAUCGCAGAUCAGCAUGCUGUGGUGAAUACGUUCCCGGGCCUUGUACACACCGCCCGUCACACCAUGGGAGUCGGUAACACCCAAAGUUGGUAGUCUAACCGCAAGGAGGACGCCGCCUAAGGUGGGAUUGAUGACUGGGGUGAAGUCGUAACAAGGUAUC